GCUUAACACAUGCAAGUCGAGGGGCAGCAUGGUCUUAGCUUGCUAAGGCCGAUGGCGACCGGCGCACGGGUGAGUAACACGUAUCCAACCUGCCGUCUACUCUUGGACAGCCUUCUGAAAGGAAGAUUAAUACAAGAUGGCAUCAUGAGUCCGCAUGUUCACAUGAUUAAAGGUAUUCCGGUAGACGAUGGGGAUGCGUUCCAUUAGAUAGUAGGCGGGGUAACGGCCCACCUAGUCUUCGAUGGAUAGGGGUUCUGAGAGGAAGGUCCCCCACAUUGGAACUGAGACACGGUCCAAACUCCUACGGGAGGCAGCAGUGAGGAAUAUUGGUCAAUGGGCGAGAGCCUGAACCAGCCAAGUAGCGUGAAGGAUGACUGCCCUAUGGGUUGUAAACUUCUUUUAUAAAGGAAUAAAGUCGGGUAUGGAUACCCGUUUGCAUGUACUUUAUGAAUAAGGAUCGGCUAACUCCGUGCCAGCAGCCGCGGUAAUACGGAGGAUCCGAGCGUUAUCCGGAUUUAUUGGGUUUAAAGGGAGCGUAGAUGGAUGUUUAAGUCAGUUGUGAAAGUUUGCGGCUCAACCGUAAAAUUGCAGUUGAUACUGGAUAUCUUGAGUGCAGUUGAGGCAGGCGGAAUUCGUGGUGUAGCGGUGAAAUGCUUAGAUAUCACGAAGAACUCCGAUUGCGAAGGCAGCCUGCUAAGCUGCAACUGACAUUGAGGCUCGAAAGUGUGGGUAUCAAACAGGAUUAGAUACCCUGGUAGUCCACACGGUAAACGAUGAAUACUCGCUGUUUGCGAUAUACUGCAAGCGGCCAAGCGAAAGCGUUAAGUAUUCCACCUGGGGAGUACGCCGGCAACGGUGAAACUCAAAGGAAUUGACGGGGGCCCGCACAAGCGGAGGAACAUGUGGUUUAAUUCGAUGAUACGCGAGGAACCUUACCCGGGCUUAAAUUGCAGAUGAAUUACGGUGAAAGCCGUAAGCCGCAAGGCAUCUGUGAAGGUGCUGCAUGGUUGUCGUCAGCUCGUGCCGUGAGGUGUCGGCUUAAGUGCCAUAACGAGCGCAACCCUUGUUGUCAGUUACUAACAGGUUCCGCUGAGGACUCUGACAAGACUGCCAUCGUAAGAUGUGAGGAAGGUGGGGAUGACGUCAAAUCAGCACGGCCCUUACGUCCGGGGCUACACACGUGUUACAAUGGGGGGUACAGAGGGCCGCUACCACGCGAGUGGAUGCCAAUCUCAAAAACCUCUCUCAGUUCGGACUGGAGUCUGCAACCCGACUCCACGAAGCUGGAUUCGCUAGUAAUCGCGCAUCAGCCACGGCGCGGUGAAUACGUUCCCGGGCCUUGUACACACCGCCCGUCAAGCCAUGGGAGCCGGGGGUACCUGAAGUGCGUAACCGCGAGGAGCGCCCUAGGGUAAAACUGGUGACUGGGGCUAAGU
rnacentral:rRNA from 1 species